ACAAUCAUGAAAGGUGAAUGCAUAUAUAGCUUAUAAUUAACCUGUUAAUUUAUGCAAAACUUGGCAAUUGGGAUCGAUGAAUUUGAAAGCAAUUAUUGGAUGAGAUGACAGUUCAAUAAUAGUCAUGAGUUGGUUGUACAUGACUAUGUUAUGCCAUGGAAGUAGUAAAUAAAAACCAGAAAAUAUACCCAUUUUUAUCUAAUUUUAACUAGUGUUGUACCUUCUUUCUUUGGUAUGCUUGAGUAUUUAAACAGAAAGUUGGUUAAUGGCAGGUUAUGUUGGAGAUAAACAAGAAACAUCAGCGACUCUUAAUUCAGAAGGUUGGCUAAAAACUGGUGAUCUCUGCUAUUUUGACUCGGAUGGGUUCCUGUUUAUUGUUGAUAGGCUAAAAGAACUGAUAAAGUACAAGGCAUAUCAGGUAAUUUUGUUGAUGGUGAUCCUGAUACAGCUAUUGAGUUUUAUGCAAACUUGUAGUUUCAUCUCCUCUACUAUGUCGUUGCAUAUGAAUGGAUGCUCUUUCAGGUACCCCCUGCUGAACUGGAACAGUUACUUCAAUCAAUUCCUGAAAUUGCUGAUGCAGCAGUCAUUCCGUUAGUUCUCCUCUCUCUUUUAUCUUUCUGUCCCUUGACAUCCUUCUAUCCAUGUAUCAGAAAUGUUAAACCGAGAAACCCUAUAGAGCUAAGAAAAUAUGUCCUCCCAAUGAUGGAAGUUAAACGUAAUUUCGAGUGUUCAUGUUUUUUAUCUAAUAUGCAAAGGCUGCACAUAUGGGAAGUACUAAACAAACGUUGCAUGAUGGACUUUGAUUUUAUAGUACUUAUUUGUUGUAUUGUCCUGCUACUAUUCAGUGAAUAUUGUUAAAUAGAUCGAUAAACCCUCAGCUCAAAGAAAGAUGAAAAAACCAGUAGCACCACGCACUAACACCAGCAAGAUAACAAGAAAACUGAAGCGAAAGAAAUAACAAGUGGCAAUAAAAAUCUACAAAAAAUAAUAAAGUACGUGACUAUAUUAAUACUACUUGUAAGGACAAGAAAAACACACGACUUUCUAUUAGUCUUCUACCUUAAUAAUCGACAUCCUCACACGCAUAUCAAGGGUCAUAACCUUGGUAAGCUGAAGCAGCGUCGUGUCCUACCUAAUAACCUCUCUUCAAUACUUCUUUGGCUUACCUCUAUCUCUAUCUCUUUUUAGACUCACCAAGGUCAAUCUCUCACACCUCCUUACUGGGGCAUAUAUGCCUCUCCUCUUCACAUGCUCAAACCAUCUAAACCUCGCUUCCCGCACCUUAUUCUCCAUAGGCGCCACGUCCACCUUGUCCAUAAUAUCUUCAUUCGUAGUUUUAUCUAUCUUGAUACGCCUACACAUCCUUUACCUUCAUUUUGUGGACAUAGGUGUUCUUGACUACCAAUUUCAUAGUAACUGUUCGAAAUUUGACAUUGGUCAAGAAAGUAUUAUAUUCUCUUAUCUUGUUCAUAAUUGCUGGGACGUUAUGCUGUAUUAUUUUUAAGAUGCAUCCUUAAUUGGUCGAUUGGAAACAGCCUCUCUGCCCUUUCGGGUAGGGGUAAGGCUUGUCUACAUAUUACCCUCCCCAGACCCCACCUGGUGGGAGUAUACUGGGUAGUUGUUGUUGUUGUUGUUGUUGAUGCAUCAUUUUUCUUGAUCAGUCCACCUAACAAGCAUAUGAACUUGGUAAUACAAAUUCGACUUGUGUCGAGUUUGGUACUGCAUCAAUCCCGAAGUGUGACAUCAAGAAUUUUCUAUCAGUUCCUUGCUUUGUCAUGCUUAUUGAGUAAUAAUUUGACUGAAUCCUCUGAUUGAUUGUUAUAUGUGUGGCAGUUGUUUUUUCCUAACAACUCUUGAGUAAAAAUAGGUGCCAGUUCUCCAGGCUUCUGUAGCUAGCAAUGUCCGCAAGACAAUUCUAAUCUCUCUUCUGCAGCUCUUACGAUCAUGUGGAUAACUUUGACUUAGUACCUUUGAAUUCUAUUCCCGUUCACUCUAAGAGACAAGAGGCUUUUAGAUCGCCAGAUCUUUGGUCCUCGUCUGAAUUGUGCAGCACGGUGUCACAAUCCGCUCAUUUAGAAGCUUGUGUUCAUCUUAUCAUACCUUUAUUUCUACAUUCAGUUAUAAGGUGGAUUCGCGGGCUCACCAGGUUAGAUAAGAUUAAAAAUGAUGUUAUUCGAGAGAAGGUGGGGGUGGCCCCGGUGGAUGAGAAGAUGCGAGAAGCGAGGNNNNNNNNNNNNNNNNNNNNNNNNNNNNNNNNNNNNNNNNNNNNNNNNNNNNNNNNNNNNNNNNNNNNNNNNNNNNNNNNNNNNNNNNNNNNNNNNNNNNNNNNNNNNNNNNNNNNNNNNNNNNNNNNNNNNNNNNNNNNNNNNNNNNNNNNNNNNNNNNNNNNNNNNNNNNAUACGGGUUUCCGAGGACAUGACUCUUGAUAGGAAAGUUUGGAGGUCUAGUAUCAGGGUUGUAGGAUAGGGGCUCCUAGAGUUUUUUGUAUUCCUCACCUGGGGUUGGGUGAGCCUUGGCAGGGCUAUCCAUAGAUGAUUUGUGUUUUGGAGUGUGUCUCCCUUAUGGUAAUUAUUGCAUGCUAUUUUAUUUAUGGCUCUUAUGUUUAGAUAAUUAUUUACGCUAUUUCUACUNNNNNNNNNNNNNNNNNNNNNNNNNNNNNNNNNNNNNNNNNNNNNNNNNNNNNNNNNNNNNNNNNNNNNNNNNNNNNNNNNNNNNNNNNNNNNNNNNNNNNNNNNNNNNNNNNNNNNNNNNNNNNNNNNNNNNNUUUUUCCUUUCCUUCACUGAGCCGAGAGUCGAUUGGAAACAGUCUCUCUGCCCUUUCGGGUAGGGGUAAGGCUCGUCUACAUAUUAUCCUCCCCAGACCGCACUUUGUGGGACUAUCCUGGGUAGUUAUUAUUGUUUUUUUGUUGAUAAAAGAGACAGGACGAUCGUAAUUAGAAGAUCCAUUCAGCUUAAAAAUUUCAGGCUGUGAAUUUUAGUCUUGAGUAGGCACAAGUAACCAUAAGAAAUUAUUUGGACCCAACAUUCAUUUAGUAGUUUUAUGCUGAUAGUUAAAUGCUAAUAAGACUCUUAUACAAAUUCAUCUGCAUAUUUAUCUAGUUGUGGAUAUUUUAAGCUGCCCAAGCAGUUCUUAAUCCCGUUGAUGUUCUGAUGCUUUGCUCAUUCUUUUCGUUUAUUCUGAUGUAGAUAUCCCGAUGAAGAAGCAGGGCAGAUUCCAAUGGCUUAUGUUGUCAGAAAACCUGGGAGUACUAUUAGCGAGUCACAAAUUGUGGAUUCAAUUGCAAAACAGGUACACCUCCAAUUGGAUAUAUAUAAGACAAACUCUUUCCAUAUCUAUUAGCCUAGGAUUAUCACAAGACGUUUAAACUUGGUCAAUUCAGUUGAACCCAUUGAACAUAAGCUGCAUACGCCUAUGAAAUUUGUUAAGACUUUUAAGCACUGCAACCUUAUUGUAUAGUGGAUACAUGCUAAAAUUGUCCAAUUGUUAAAAUCCUAACACCACAUAAGACAACGUAAAGUUGUCUCCAUGUGACCCAGAGGUCACAAGUUCGAGCCGAGGAAUCAGCCACUGAUGCUUGUGUCAUGGUAGACUGCCUACACUACACUCCUUGAGGUGUGGCCCUUUCCCUGACCUUAAUGUGAACGUGGGAUGCUUCAUGCACCAGGCUGGCCUUUAUAUAUAUAUACACACACACAAUCUUCGAUCCUACUUUCUGUAAAGAUGGAAAACUCAGAUGAAAUGACUGUGUUUCUUCUUAGGAUGGACAAUAAGAAUUGCUGACUAUCCGGUGAAGCAUAUUAUAACCAAAGGAUAUCUUGCAGGUUGCACCAUACAAAAAGAUACGGCGUGUUGCAUUCAUUAACUCAAUACCAAGAUCUCCAGCAGGAAAGAUCUUGAGAAGAGAACUCAUUGAUCAGGCCAUUUCUGGUACUUCAGCUAGAUUAUGACAGAAACAUGAAAAUCUUAUGGAGAAAUAUGUGUAGUUAAUCCAAACCCAAAUGGUACACAUGUUAUAUGUUCCUUCAAGUCUUGUAUCUGACCUUACAACUUCAACAGAUUUUCACUGCGAACCCGAUGGUUUCAUGAUUUUUGGUUGAUAUAAACCUCCCAAAGUUGAAAGAGAUAAAUUGAACAGUUAAAAUGUUACUCAUUAUUAGCUUUAGCUGCCUUGUUUGUUGGAACAGCAACCUGGAUGGGCGGGUGGGUGAAGCUACUACAUUGAGAAUUCUAUUGUGUCACAAUCGUCUCUACAUUGCAUAAUUCUUCCUCCUCAACCCUCCCUUCAAUCUUCUAAAGUAUGGUCAUCCUCAUGGAAGUGAGAAGGAAGUAGUAUUGUCGAGGUCUAUAUUUUUAUUUAUUUAUUUAUAUCUUCAGCACACUCACUCACGAGCAAGCCUGAUUUUUUUAGAACAUUAAGGACGUAAAAAUUCUUGUCAAAAAGGAGAAUAAUCUAGGUUAUCCUCUAUUCAAAUUUUUUAAAUGUUGUAUUUCCAUAUCAAGAAUUCUGUCACAAUACAUGAUAUAUUGUUUAAAUUAAGCCGUUCUACGUAAUGAAGUAUCCAUCGUCUAUCGGUGUCCCGUUCUAACCUCUUUGUCAUUUCAUUAUAAUUACUUAAGUGAUGUUUAUUAGUGUCCACAAUGAAACUAGAGAAGAAGGGUAAGUACUUAAACAUUAAUUUGGGAGGUUUUGCAUGUAGGAAAAACAUGAGACGAAUCUACUGAUAUGUUCUACAUAACUUUGGAACUCUUAAUGCUCAGGAGUAUGUAAAUAAAUCUCUCAACUUUCCUUCAGCCAAGUACUUCAAAUUAUAUCCCAAUUGUCACACCUCCUUUUUACACAUCUAUCCCGAAGGAUAAAUGUAUAAGGGAGUUUUUUCAUUUAAAGUGACAUUAUUCGGAUCGGGAUUAUUUAUUCAUUCAGAGUCGCCACUUGGAAAAGGUUUGGCUUUUGGUGUCCCAAGUCAUCGGUUUAGUUCAAGUUUGAGUCUAAAUAAAAAGACGAACCUUAUAGCUUAAACCUGCUACCUAACUUGAAACCCGAAUUACAAAUACCAAUUAAAUCAUUUAAAAGAAAAAUGUGAACUGGGACCAAAUGACGGGCCCAAUGAGACAAAUCAUGGAAUCCAUUCCGUCAACACGUAAAUAGUGCGCAGACGACGUAAGCUCCGCCCUUGACCAAUACUAGUUCCCAUAACCUAACACUACACCACUAAGACAUUGAGAAAUUACCAAAACAGUGGAACACUUCCUAUGAGAUAGCACCCACUAAUUUGCAGCAUUCAUGUGAAAGAUGAAUCUACAUUAUAACAGAAAUUUUCAGCCUAACAUAUAUACAUCACAUGAGGGCAUACGCUUCAUCUUCUUUUUAAAAGGAACAAGAAUAAACCGCAGCAACUGUAAGUAAAUGAACAAGUUUCGGAUGCCUCAAGUCAAUUUCAAAUCAUCAACCAUUCCAAAAGCAAUAGAGCAAAAUUCGAAAAAAAAAAAAUCGAACAAAUAUAAAAGCUACAAAAAUAGAGUUAAAACGGAAAUUCGAAAUCAACAGUUCGACACACCUAGCCUGUUUCGAAGGUCACAGCAAGGAUCACGAACGGAAACUCGGCCGGCCACGGACUGAUCGAACUUCGCCGGAGUAACUCGAAUCACGCCGACGAACUCGAACUUAGCUCAACCUCGACAGAACUCAACGGAAAGCUCGAAACGAUCCCAACUCAAUCGAACUCCGUCACUCAAACAGGCCGACUUUCAACUGCUGCAACUAUUGAAUUUCGCUUUCUCUAUAUGUAUUCCAUAGUGUACGUGACUGUGUGUGUAUUUUUGGUAUAAGAGUCUGUUGGUUUUAUGAAGAAGAAACAGCAGCUUAUCAACAUUGCUUCUCUGAUCGUAUCUUUGUAUGUGUGUAACUGCUGUGAGGUUUGCUACUCUUCAGGUCUGAGAGGGCCUGUUCGUUAGUGUUGAAGGAAGGUGACGAAACUUGGUUUUUUCCAUGGAAACGCAGCCCUAAAAGUUUGAUGCAGCAGCGGAAGCCUGGUGGUUGUAGGGUGAGCGACAGGUGUUUGUUCUCUAUGAAGAUGAUGAUGAAGCUUGCUGGGGUCUCUCAUGGUUGAAGGAUCUCAAGGUAAAUGACCAUUGAAGCUCGGAGAAGAAGAAUGACGGAAGGGCUUCUUCAUCUCAAAGGUGUGCAGCUUCU
rnacentral:lncRNA from 1 species